rnacentral:rRNA from 1 species
UACGUAGGGUCCGAGCGUUGUCCGGAUUUAUUGGGCGUAAAGAGCGUGUAGGCGGCCAGACAGGUCCGUUGUGAAAACUCGAGGCUCAACCUCGAGAUGUCGAUGGAAACCGCCUGGCUAGAGUCCGGAAGAGGAGUGUGGAAUUCCUGGUGUAGCGGUGAAAUGCGCAGAUAUCAGGAAGAACACCUAUGGCGAAGGCAGCACUCUGGGACGGUACUGACGCUGAGACGCGAAAGCGUGGGGAGCGAACAGG